GACAGAGGUCCCAAGCGUUAGGCGGAAUCACUGGGCUUAAAGCGUGUGUAGGCGGAUUUGUAAGUACCUUGUGAAAUCCCACGGCUCAACCGUGGAACUGCUUGGUAUACUGCUUAUCUUGGGUCGUCUAGGGGCGAGCGGAACAAACGGUGGAGCGGUGAAAUGCGUAGAUAUCGUAAGGAAGACCAGUGGCGAAGGCGGGUCUCUGGACAGUUCCUGACGCUGAGGCACGAAGGUCAGGGGAGCAAACGGG
rnacentral:rRNA from 1 species